GUGGGCUACGGCGACAUGGCCCCGGUCACCGUGGGCGGCAAGAUCGUGGGCUCCCUCUGCGCCAUCGCCGGCGUGCUCACCAUCUCCCUACCCGUGCCCGUCAUAGUCUCCAAC
rfam:Erinaceus europaeus unplaced genomic scaffold scaffold00870, whole genome shotgun sequence